GAUUUUCACCAAACUAGGCACACAUAUGGAGCUGGAUUCUAGAAUUGCCCAGUGAGAUCAAAUUUCCCAAAAGUCAAUCAUUGGGGCCAAAAGUCUCAUUUCGAAG